rnacentral:tRNA from 1 species
GGGAGCAUAGCUCAGUGGUAGAGCACAUGCCUAGUAUGGGUAGGGCCCUGGAUUAGACCCCACCAAAAAAAUAUAUAUAUUUUUUUGCCUUUACAAUAGUGGUCCUCAAUCCUCCCUAACAUAGUCACCUAGUAGCUUUUUAUUUUUUAAUUUUCUUUUAAAAAUAUUUUCAGAUGAGACUUUUUUUAUAUUUAUUUUUUAGUUAUAGAUGGACACAAUAUCUUUAUAUUUAUGUGGUGCUGAGGAUUGAACCCAGUGCCUCA